rnacentral:lncRNA from 1 species
CAGACAGGGAACAGGGUGGCUGGAGAGAGCCCUGCUUCCCUUCUCCAUCCUUGCUCCCUCAGGCUUCACUUCCCAACAGGCCAAGGAAAAGUAACUCUGCCGGGGGCACCUCCAAGACACCCAGGACAUUCUUGAUAAAUCUGUCCGCAGAAGCAGUCCUGCAUGAGUCAAGGAAAUCACCUGAUGGCCAGCGAGCCAAGGCUAACCGAGCAUUUUCAACAUGCCUGCUACCACUCGGCACAGGCACCCUGACGGCCCUGGGAAUGCAAAGGUGGCCCAGUGUUUCGUUGGUUCGAAUCCUGGGCGCGGACAUGGCACUGCUCAUCAAACCAUGCUGAGGCGGCAUCCCACAUGCCACAACUAGAAGGACCCACAACGAAGAACAUACAACUAUGUACUGGGGG